GGGUAAUCACAGGCUGGAGGAUAUGGAGAGAAAUCACAGGCCGGAGGACACGGAGGGUAAUCACAGGCCGGAGGACACGGAGGGUAAUCACAGGCCGGAGGACACGGAGGGUAAUCACAGGCCGGAGGACACGGAGAGAAAUCACAGGCCGGAGGAUAUGGAGAGAAAUCACAGGCCGGAGGAUAUGGAGGGUAAUCACAGGCCGGAGGAUAUGGAGAGAAAUCACAGGCCGGAGGACACGGAGAGAAAUCACAGGCCGGAGGAUAUGGAGAGAAAUCACAGGCCGGAGGACACGGAGGGUAAUCA
rnacentral:lncRNA from 1 species